UACAGAGGUCUCAAGCGUUGUUCGGAUUCAUUGGGCGUAAAGGGUGCGUAGGCGGCGCGGUAAGUCGGGUGUGAAAUCUUGGAGCUUAACUCCGAAACUGCAUUCGAUACUGCCGUGCUUGAGGACUGGAGAGGAGACUGGAAUUUACGGUGUAGCGGUGAAAUGCGUAGAUAUCGAGAGGAACACCGGUGGCGAAGGCGGCUAUCUGGACAGUGACUGACGCUGAGACGCGAAAGCGUGGGGAGCAAACAGG
rnacentral:rRNA from 1 species